AUUGAACGCUGGCGGUAUGCCUUACACAUGCAAGUCGAACGGUAGAGGAGCAAUCCUCGAGAGUGGCGAACGGGUGAGUAAUACAUCGGAACGUGCCCAGUCGUGGGGGAUAACGUAGCGAAAGCUACGCUAAUACCGCAUACGACCUGAGGGUGAAAGCGGGGGACCGUAAGGCCUCGCGCGAUUGGAGCGGCCGAUGGCAGAUUAGGUAGUUGGUGGGGUAAAGGCCCACCAAGCCUGCGAUCUGUAGCUGGUCUGAGAGGACGACCAGCCACACUGGGACUGAGACACGGCCCAGACUCCUACGGGAGGCAGCAGUGGGGAAUUUUGGACAAUGGGCGAAAGCCUGAUCCAGCCAUACCGCGUGCGGGAAGAAGGCCUUCGG
rnacentral:rRNA from 1 species